GGUUAAGCGAAUAAGCGUACACGGUGGAUGCCCUGGCAGUCAGAGGCGAUGAAGGACGUGCUAAUCUGCGAAAAGCGUCGGUAAGGUGAUAUGAACCGUUACAGCCGGCGAUGUCCGAAUGGGGAAACCCAGUGUGAUCCGUCACACUAUCAUUAACUGAAUCCAUAGGUUAAUGAGGCGAACCGGGGGAACUGAAACAUCUAAGUACCCCGAGGAAAAGAAAUCAACCGAGAUUCCCCCAGUAGCGGCGAGCGAACGGGGAGGAGCCCAGAGUCUGAAUCAGCGCAGGCGUCAGUGGAACGGUCUGGAAAGGCCGGCGAUACAGGGUGAAAGCCCCGUACACGAAGAUGCAUGCGCUGUGAGCUCGAUGAGUAGGGCGGGACACGUGUUAUCCUGUCUGAAUAGGGGGGGACCAUCCUCCAAGGCUAAAUACUCCUGACUGACCGAUAGUGAACCAGUACCGUGAGGGAAAGGCGAAAAGAACCCCGGCGAGGGGAGUGAAAAAGAAUCUGAAACCGUGUACGUACAAGCAGUGGGAGCCCCACCACUAAGCCAGUGGUGAAGCCAUAUCUGCAUCCUUUGCUGAUGGCGCGGUUAACGGAGCGCAAGCGACGUUUAACCCCGAAAGAAGCAGAGGGGGUUUAGUGGUGGGGUGACUGCGUACCUUUUGUAUAAUGGGUCAGCGACUUAUAUUCUGUAGCAAGGUUAACCGAAUAGGGGAGCCGAAGGGAAACCGAGUCUUAACCGGGCGCUCAGUUGCAGGGUAUAGACCCGAAACCCGGUGAUCUAGCCAUGGGCAGGUUGAAGGUUGGGUAACACUAACUGGAGGACCGAACCGACUAAUGUUGAAAAAUUAGCGGAUGACCUGUGGCUGGGGGUGAAAGGCCAAUCAAACCGGGAGAUAGCUGGUUCUCCCCGAAAGCUAUUUAGGUAGCGCCUCGUGAACUCAUCUUCGGGGGUAGAGCACUGUUUCGGCCAGGGGGCCAUCCCGGCUUACCAAUCCGAUGCAAACUGCGAAUACCGAAGAAUGUAAUCACGGGAGACACACGGCGGGUGCUAACGUCCGUCGUGAAGAGGGAAACAACCCAGACCGCCAGCUAAGGUCCCAAAGUCAUGGUUAAGUGGGAAACGAUGUGGGAAGGCCCAGACAGCCAGGAUGUUGGCUUAGAAGCAGCCAUCAUUUAAAGAAAGCGUAAUAGCUCACUGGUCGAGUCGGCCUGCGCGGAAGAUGUAACGGGGCUAAACCAUGCACCGAAGCUGCGGCAGCGGACGU
rnacentral:rRNA from 1 species